rnacentral:rRNA from 1 species
UACGGAGGGGGCUAGCGUUGUUCGGAAUUACUGGGCGUAAAGCGCACGUAGGCGGACUCUUAAGUCGGUGGUGAAAUCCUGGAGCUCAACUCCAGAACUGCCUUCGAUACUGAGAGUCUCGAGUCCGGGAGAGGUGAGUGGAACUGCGAGUGUAGAGGUGAAAUUCGUAGAUAUUCGCAAGAACACCAGUGGCGAAGGCGGCUCACUGGCCCGGUACUGACGCUGAGGUGCGAAAGCGUGGGGAGCAAACAGG